CACACUGGCUAACAACCAAACUCACGUGCCCUCGGCACAAUCUGAUACAAAAACAGUAAUUCGGAUCCACCGUCAACCUCAACGGCACCCAACAGACCGGAAUAAUCUAAACACUGCUGUAAAAAUAAACUCGGCAUCCCAGCAUGAGCGUAAAUACAUUCUACACUAUACUGGAUAUCCACCGCCCACAACCUGCGGUGGUACCAAUAAACUACGGCUCAUAGAGCUAAAUCUGGUAGUUUAAACAUAUGACGGUGUAGAAUCGUUAGUUUUCUCCUAAGUCAAAUCCCAGUCCAACAUGUAUAUUUAACUAACAUUUAAGCUUCAAUUUCAGAUUCCAAUAA
rnacentral:lncRNA from 1 species